rnacentral:lncRNA from 1 species
AAAAAAGAAAAAGGUUUUUACCUUUUUUAACCCCCACACCACCCCAAAAAAAGGCUCAAAAGUAGUAACCACUCAUUCGUCUCAAAAUUUCUUUGGGCCUAUAAAAUACCAAAAAUUAUGAUAUGUAGAAUUCAAAAAAUAUUAAAUUUUAUAUCUCUGAAUUCAAAACAACUAAAUCAUAGAGAUACAAAAUUUAUGGUAUCUAUAACGUUCUAUGAUCAAGUCUGAGUGAAAAGCUCAACGUGGAUAAAUAAUCACCACGCCACGUGUGCAAACAUGUCAUCAGAUUCAUCCAUGCCAAUCACUUCCCAUGAUAGGAAAACAAAAUCCCUCUUGAUAAAAUUUUAUGCCUUAUUAUAACUUGUGCAACAAUUUAAGUUUCGUAGCAAUAAGAGGAGAUGUAGAAAUAAGAAAUAUCUAACAUCCAUUAUUUUAAGAAAUAAUGAGAAAUUUUAUGUUGAUGUAGAAGAAAUCAUUCUCCCAAUAAAGAAGAAUCAAAAGGGGGAAAAACCAUUAACUGUUAGGUUAAAUAAGCAACUCUGAGGAAUCUAACAGCCCCCCUUGCAUCAAGUGUGCAGUUAACAGAGAAAAAUGAAGAAAAUUUGGUUCAAGGAGGGAGAAAGAAAUGCUUCCUCUUUCACUCUCGAGCAUUUAACCAGACCUAAUGAUGGAAUAUUAUAAUUGAUAUUAGUAUAUUUAGUUUCCAAUUUUAAACUUUAUUUUAGGAAACAUAAUUACGGUUGAUUUUAUAUUAUUUCCUUACUUAGAAUCGGACCUUUUGAAACCCUAUAAAAAGGGGUAUUAUGCGAUGUAAUUGGGAUAACUUCUGAUAAUGAAAUAAUUGAUAUUUUCCCCUAAAGUCUCUUCUUCUUCUUUCCGUUCCGUCCGUCUAAUUCCCCUUCCCUUUCUACCUCCCCUCUUUCUCUUCUUCUCUCCCCUUUCCCCUUCUCCUACAAUUCUCGUAAUAUAUCUGGCAUCAGCUACCUUCAAAGUUGAAUGCUACCAAUGAAUUUUGAAUGGUAUUAAGAAUUUUUCCGACUUCCAAGAAGAAUAUAAAGACAGCAAUCACUCUAUCCUCACUUUGCAACAUGCUAACUCCAAAUUAGAGCAUUCACUGUCAAAGGGACCCAGACCAUUGCAUUGUGUGAUAAAGGCACUAACAAGUUCCACUUGGGUCUACUCUUGAGUUCAUAAAUGUAUGCAGAACAUAGGAGGAUGUGUAGCAAAAUAAUCAUUGACAAAAGGAAAAACGACAAAAGAAUGGUCAUUAGAUAAUGUAGAGUUUAAAAGACAGCAUUGGUAUAUUGGAACUUGUACUACUAGUGAAAUCCUAUUAAACACAGAAAAUCAUAAAGUCAUACUGCGGUGGCAUUGUGUGCCCUAUUUUUUUAUAAAUACAUUGAAUUUCCAAUACUCAACGGACACCCCAAGACAAGCGUUGAGCACGUGGACAUUCAAGUCAUGUAACGAGUCCACAGAUUUCUCGUAUUCUUUAUAGUUCUAACUCAUGAGGAAUAAGAAAGUGACACAUUAAGGAUGCUGAUGUAAAAUUCUGAACGGAAUUUAAAACAUCAAAACAUUUGUGUAAAAUAUUCAAAAUAAUGUGAGAAAAAUUCAACAAAUUUCAUGUUGAAUUUAUUUAUAUAUACUACAUGUAUUUUUCUUUAUGUGGCAGAGUAAUAUGUAGUUUAAACCAAAGUAUCUUAAUACAAUAAAUAACACUCCAUUUAUUUGAAUAUAUUACACAUAGAAAUCAAAGUUAAAAAAUAUUAAGGUCUUGUUUGAGUCCCAUUUUUACAAAAAUUCAUUUUUUCAAACUCAUUUUCAACCACACAUUCCCCAAUAAUUUUACACGUAAAUCAAAAAAAUUCUUACUUUUAAACCACACAUUCUCCAAAAACUCAAUAUUUAAUAAUACAUUUUCCCCCAAAACAGGGCUCAAAAUAUGGCUAAAUUUAUAGGAAAAUAGAAUAG